GCGGCAGUGGCGGAAUGGCAGACGCGCACGGUUGAGGGCCGUGUGGGAAACCGUGCUGGUUCGAGUCCAGUUUGCCGCACCA
rnacentral:tRNA from 3 species